AUUAAUCAGCAUGUAAGCUAAGUUAAAUCAAACCAUGAUAACACUCUUUUCACCAACUAAAACACCACAUUCGAUUUGAUCUUAGAAAUUACAUGGCAUCACAGCUGUCACAAGUAUAUAAAAAGGAAGAUCGUGUGAGGUAUCAGAUUACACAUUUUUCUUUUUGAUCUGUAAACAAAAGAUUUUUAAAUAAUUACACGCAAUGAACACGGUGAUGGUCAUUCGAGUAAUUUCAGCCGAAUAGCAUAUUUUCUUUUCCUAAGUGCCAUCUUCACUUGAUAUACCUCAUUUUCUUCCUAUAAAUAGCGUUCAUCUCUUCCGGUAAGAACAUACCAAAACCAAAACCAAAAGAAGAAGAAGGUACAGAGAAAGAACAAUGUCAGGAAUCAUUCACAAGAUUGGAGAGACCCUUCAUGUGGGAGGGCACAAGAAAGAGGAGGAGCACAAAGGGGAGCAUCAUGGUGAACACAGUGAGUACAAAGGAGAGCACCAUGGUGAACACAAGGGUGAUCAUCAUGGUGAAUACAAAGGGGAGCACAAGCCCGAGCACCAUGGAGAAGAGCACAAAGAAGGGUUCGUAGAGAAGAUCAAAGACAAGCUCCACGGUGAAGGUGCUGAGGGCGAGAAGAAGAAGAAAAAGGAGAAGAAGAAGAAACAUGAAGAUGGCCAUGGCCAUGACAGCAGCAGCAGCAGUGACAGUGAUUAGAUAUAACUGCUGCAUCACCUAUAUAUAUUAUAUAUGUUAAGCUAAGGUAAACUCUUAUUUCUGUUAUCUUGUGUAUGUUCUAUCAAUAUUCUGCAUGAUUUUCUUCAUUGGUGUUUGGAACAUGAUGACAAAUUAGGAAAUUUCUGAUCUUGUUUUCUUCUAUUACUUUGAUUUGAUCUGUCAUUGUAUGAUUAAAAUGGACAAAAUGACUAAGGUUUAAUGUCAUAUAUGUUCUGAUUUUUCUUUUUGUCGUUGUCUGAAGCAGGUGUAUGUGACCAUAGCAGUGAGGGCUGUGACUUCUUUUCUUGCUUUCUUGUGAUCUGCAUUUAUGAGUGGAAAAAAAAAGUGAGAGAAAAUUGUGGUGUGUGGUUGGAGAUUGAAGUUGUAUGAAUCUGUGGUUUGGUUGGUGUGUAAUUAACCCCACUGCUUUGGUUGUAUGUUAUCAUAUGAAAUAAAAAUUUAAAUUAUCAGUUUUAGUACUGAAAAAAAAAAAAUUAACAACAUUUUUUAAUAACUUUUUAACAUUUUGACAUAUCAUAGUUAAUGAUUUAUCUAUUUUAAAUAUUUUUUUAAAUAUAAACUCAAAUAAACCAAUAAAAUAAAAUAAUGAUACCCUUCCGUUAUAAAAAUUUGUUAAAAUAUCA
rnacentral:lncRNA from 1 species